AACGCUGGCGGCAUGCCUUACACAUGCAAGUCGAACGGCAGCACGGGAGCAAUCCUGGUGGCGAGUGGCGAACGGGUGAGUAAUAUAUCGGAACGUGCCCAGUCGUGGGGGAUAACGUAGCGAAAGCUACGCUAAUACCGCAUACGAUCUAUGGAUGAAAGCGGGGGAUCGCAAGACCUCGCGCGAUUGGAGCGGCCGAUAUCAGAUUAGGUAGUUGGUGAGGUAAAGGCUCACCAAGCCGACGAUCUGUAGCUGGUCUGAGAGGACGACCAGCCACACUGGGACUGAGACACGGCCCAGACUCCUACGGGAGGCAGCAGUGAGGAAUAUUGGACAAUGGGCGCAAGCCUGAUCCAGCCAUGCCGCGUGCAGGAUGACGGUCCUAUGGAUUGUAAACUGCUUUUGUACAGGAAGAAACACUGGUUCGUGAACCGGCUUGACGGUACUGUAAGAAUAAGGAUCGGCUAACUCCGUG
rnacentral:rRNA from 1 species